rnacentral:rRNA from 1 species
CCUACGGGAGGCAGCAGUGGGGAAUAUUGGACAAUGGGGGCAACCCUGAUCCAGCCAUGCCGCGUGUGUGAAGAAGGCCUUAGGGUUGUAAAGCACUUUCAGCAGGGAGGAAAAGCAGCGUGUUAAUAGCGCGUUGUGUUGACGUUACCUGCAGAAGAAGCACCGGCAAACUCCGUGCCAGCAGCCGCGGUAAUACGGAGGGUGCGAGCGUUAAUCGGAAUUACUGGGCGUAAAGCGCGCGUAGGCGGCUUGAUAAGCCGGAUGUGAAACCCCUGGGCUCAACCUGGGACGUGCAUUCGGAACUGUCAAGCUAGAGUACGGUAGAGGUGAGUGGAAUUUCCUGUGUAGCGGUGAAAUGCGUAGAUAUAGGAAGGAACAUCAGUGGCGAAGGCGGCUCACUGGACUGAUACUGACGCUGAGGUGCGAAAGCGUGGGGAGCA